rnacentral:rRNA from 1 species
CCGGCGACCGGCGGACGGGUGCGUAACGCGUAUGUAACCUACCUUUGACAGGGGGAUAACAUCGAGAAAUUGGUACUAAUACCCCAUAACAUCACCGGAGGCAUCUUCGGUGGUUGAAAACUCAGGUGGUCAGAGAUGGACAUGCGUUGUAUUAGCUAGUCGGUGAGGUAACGGCUCACCAAGGCGACGAUACAUAGGGGGACUGAGAGGUCAACCCCCCACAUUGGUACUGAGACACGGACCAAACUCCUACGGAAGGCAGCAG